rnacentral:misc_RNA from 1 species
GAUGAAGAACGUAGUGAAAUGCGAUAAGUAAUGUGAAUUGCAGAAUUCAGUGAAUCAUCGAAUCUUUGAACGCACAUUGCGCCCGUCAGUAUUCUGGCGGGCAUGCCUGUUCGAGCGUCAUUACGCCCCUCAAGUCCCCUGUGGACUUGGUGUCGGGGAUCGGCGAGGCUGGUUUUCCAGCACAGCCGUCCCUUAAAUUAAUUGGCGGUCUCGCCGUGGCCCUCCUCUGCGCAGUAGUAAAACACUCGCAACAGGAGCCCGGCGCGGUCCACUGCCGUAAAACCCCCCAACUUUUUAUAGUUGACCUCGAAUCAGGUAGGACUACCCGCUGAACUUAAGCAUAUCAAUAAGCGGAGGA